ensembl:lncRNA
UAUUUUGUUAUGUUUAUAGAAAUUUUAAGUCAAGUAUUAAUGCAGAUGUUGCAUUGAAAGUUCACUGUCACUGCAGACAGAUACAGAAUUGUUUGUAUUUGAGUUUUAUGACUGUUUGAUCCAGACUGUUGAUGUAUAAACUGGGCAACAACCAGUGAACACUAGUGUACCCACAUUAUAUUUAAAUCCAACCCAAGUCAUUUUGUUCUUGAACUGGGUCUGCUGAUGAGCUAGCUUAACUACAGCUAACAUGACUCUCAAAAAAUCAUCUUUAUUUCUUCGACAGGUUUUUUUCGUGUCACAGCCUGAUGCAGCAGCUGAAACGAAUCAUGGUGGAUAAAAAAGUCUACAAUAUAAACUAGUGAUGCUAAACGCUAACUAGCUUAGCUUAGCAGAGCAGUGACAGAUGCAGCUUCUGAUUCCAGUGAAAUGUUAUUUAAAGAUGCAACAAGAACACGCUCCAACUUUAUUUUUAACCUCCAAUUUUUAAAGUUUUGUAAGUUUCCUGAAUUUAGGGGUUUAGUUGAAAGUUCUGGGAAGAAAAGCGGCUCAUGAGGCUAAUCUGUGGACCUUCAGAGAGAUUAUUCUGUCAAACACAAACAUCAAGAAUGAAGAAAUGAUUGAAAACCUGACCUGAAAGCACCAGAUCUUCUAGAUCUUCUGUUUGAUUGGUUGAGAUCUGUCCUGUUGCUGAAAGAGGCUGCAGAUGUUCUCAUGGUUCUACCUGAACUCCACCAGCGGGUCGAAGCCUUUGGACCCUGGUUCCCUUUAAACCUCACUGAGUGGCUCCUCUCAGCCGGGCUCCAGGAAACAUCCAGGUCCACGGUCCCCCCUCUGGUACCGGACUGGUCAAGGUCCACAGUCCCUUCUCUGAUACUGGACUGGUCCAGGUCCACGGUCCCCCUUCUGGUACCGGACUAGAUCAGGUCCACAGUCCCCCCUCUGGUACUGGACCGGUCAAGGUCAUCAGUCCCCGCUCUGAUACUGGACUGGUCCAGGUUCAGGUCCCCACUCUGGUACAGACCCAUAUCAGGUCCACGAUUCCCCCUCUGGUCCUGGACCGGUCCAGGUUCAGGUCCAUGAUCCCCACUCUGGUACCGGACCAUAUCAGGUCCACGAUCCCCACUCUGAUACUGGACCGGUCAAGGUCCAUGGUCCCCCCUCUGGUAGUAUACCGGUCCAGGUUCAGGUCCAAGAUCCUUCCUCUGGUACCGGACUAGAUCAGGUCCAAGAUCCCCACUCUGGUACCGGACUAGAUCAGGUCCAAGAUCCCCCCUCUGGUACCGGACCAGGUCUAUGAAGCCCUUUAGAGUAACGAAGUCCAGCAGCUCUGGGGAAGGUAGCAGCAGAAGGUCCGGUUCUAUGGGAGCCCAGCUGAGAGCUCAGUGUCAGAGUGCAUGUUUACAGGAACUCUACAUGUAUGACAGAAUGUACAUAUGUGUUUAUAUCUGACCUUCAUCACCGCAUGCCUGCUGAAACACACGGAACAAAGAGGCGACUCAUCAAACUCCACUGUUAUCUGUUGAGCUUUUCAGUUUCUAUGUUUUUAUUUUUUUGCAGCAUGUUUGAGAAAAAGGCAGCAGAGACGAGAUGAGGUUCUGUUGAAAGGUUCCUGUUAGAACCUCAGCUGGGUCCGAUCAGACGCCCACGCUCCGCUGAUCCUCCGGUUCAUGUCCUUUGAAGUAAUCAAUGGUUUCAGCAAAUCAAUGGAGCCACUGUGAGCUCGCAGGAAAACCAUCCAAUCAGAGAGAAGAUGAAUAUUUAUGGUUUAAGCUCCAGGAACAAGAAUGUAGAACCUUCAUUCAGCAGCAGAUAAAGGUUGAUGGGGUUAGAGAACGUUUAUUAGCAAACAAGGAGGUGAAAUCUGAAGUUCUCUCGAAAGAUAGAACACCACAUCCCAUAAAAAACAUCCGAACCGGUUCCUUCCCUCUGUCUGACGCAAUAAACCCAAACCUGCUGGUUCUCACAUGAAGGAACAUUCAUUUUAAUGAGUUUAAAGGUUCCGUAACAUCAGCUACAAAUUCUAAUGAUGUUUUAAAGUUUUAAUCCAAUAUUUAUCUUUUAAUUAAUGUUCCACAAAUGUUCUGAGAAAGCUCUGCGAAUGUUUUCCACAUGAAGCUCCCAAAACAUUCUUCUUAAAGGUUUGAUAGCUAAAACCUUUUGGACCAUUCCACCUUAAUGUUCUCAAAACUGAAUGUUACACCGAGAACGUUUUCCUUUUGUUACCAUGGAACACUGUGGGAACGUUUCAUAGAUUCUAUACUGUGUUCCCUCGACAACAUCCUGUCAUCUGAGGUCUCCAGAACAUUUUUUGAAUGUUGCAUUGAGAACGUUCCUCUGUUGUUAUCACUAUUCAAAUGUUUUAUAGAAAAACGUUCUAUCAUGUGUUCCCUCAACAAGUAAGCUAAAUGUUCCACCUUUAAUAUAUCAGAUUAGAGGAAUGCUAUAAAAUGUUCCAUCUUCUGAGGUCUUGAUAACAUCUAGAAAAGAUUCUUUCAAUGCUGGGUUCAGAAUGUUCCUCCUCUGUUAUCAUAGAAUAUUCUGAGAAUGUUUUAUUGAAGAACAUUCUGUAAUGGGUUCCUUCAACAACAUCCUCAGAACAUUACAGGAAGAAUGUUCCACAUUUGUUAAUUUACGCUUUAUAAAGAACCUUCCUUCAUCUUGUGUUAUUUUCAACAUCUUGAAAAUAUUUUCCAAAUGCUGUUUUGAGAACGUUCCUCCUUUAUUAUCACUUUUCAAAUGUUUAAAGAAGAACGUUCUAUGAUGUGUUCCCUCAACAAAUAAGCUAAAUGUUCCACCUUUAAUACAUCACAUUAGACGAACAUCAUAAAACAUUCCAUCUUCUGAGGUUUUGAUAACAUCUAGAAAAAGCUUUUAGAAUGUUGGCUUGAGAACGUUCCUCCUUUGUUAUCAUGGAACAUUUUGAGAAUGUUUUAUAGAAGAAUGUUCUAUAAUGGGUUCCUUCAACAACAUCCUCAGGACAUUACAGACAGAAUGUUCCUCUUCUGUUGAUUUAUCACAUUACAGGAACAUUUCAUGAGAACGUUCUGUCAUCUGAGGUCUCCAGAACAUUUUUUUUUUUAUGUUACGUUGAGAACGUUCCUCCUUUGAUGUCACUGGUGAAAUGUUUUCUAGAAGAACGUUCUAUGAUGUGUUCCCUCAACAAAUAAGCUAAAUGUUCCCCCUUUAAUACAUCAGAUUAGAGGAACGUUCCAUCCACAUCGUGAGCUGCAGAUGAACCUGAUUGAAGCUGCUGGAGGUUGAAUGUUUGAUCAGAUCCAUCUUUGUUCUUCUGUUCUGUUCUUCUUGGUUCCACUGGACUCAUAUUCACUAAUAAAUAAAUCAAACUAGAAAUGCAGCAGAUGUUUUAAUCCAUGUGUUUCUGGUUAGUGACACUAAUAAAUAAAACUCUGAAACCAUCAGGCAGGAUGAGGGAGCUGCAGCUGAGGAAUAGUCACAUCUACUGGAUGUUUGGAGAGUUUCUGACCCCGUCCAGCCUCCGUACCUCCUAGACUGGUUCUGUUGAAUGUUUUUGACCCCGUCCAGCCUCCGUACCUCCCAAACUGUUCCGUGUUUCUGGGUCAGAGCCAGCGUGUUGUUCUCUACAUGUAUGUUAGAGCAGCUUCAGGGCUGAUGGGAUUAAUUCUCUCUGACAUCCCCCCGAGUCAUCAUGUGAUCGGAUCGAUACCGAAUCAAUACGGGAUCAAUACGUCUGAUCACAUCACUGUCUGCUCUCAUGGACCUCACAUUUCAGCAAAUAAACACCAAGAGCUCAGGCUGCUGGUUGGCCUUUUUAUUUCUUUAACCAUCAAACACAGAAUCAACUAAUCAAUAAUAAUAAUAAUAAUAAUAAUAAUAAUAAUAAUAAUAAUAAUAAUAAUAAUAAUAAUAAUAAUAAUAAUAAUAAUAAUAAUAAUAAU